rnacentral:tRNA from 1 species
AAGGGUACAGCUCAGUGGUAGAGUGCGUGCUUAGCAUGCAUGAGGUCCUGGGUUCAGUCCCCAGUAUCUCCA